rnacentral:lncRNA from 1 species
GACUGCAGUUUAGCACUUGUUCGACUUCUACUUCACGCCGAGCAAUGCUAAAACUCAAUUAUCUCUUCUAGAAUUCAACUUUGACCCUUCCAACAUUUUUGGACUGUCAAAUGGAACACGUCCAAGCAUCUCUCUCGCCACCCUUUGUUCCUUUUGACCAAAAGUGGUUUAAUAGGACGGGGAAUCAAUAUCUUACAAUAUAUU